rnacentral:rRNA from 1 species
UACGUAGGUGGCGAGCGUUGUCCGGAAUUACUGGGUGUAAAGGGCGUGUAGGCGGGGAUGUAAGUCAGAUGUGAAACUCCGAAGCUUAACUUCGGAACUGCAUCUGAAACUGUGUCUCUUGAGUGCUGGAGAGGAAAGCGGAAUUCCAGGUGUAGCGGUGAAAUGCGUAGAUAUCUGGAAGAACACCAGUGGCGAAGGCGGCUCUCUGGCCUAGAACUGACGCUGAAGCGCGAAAGCGUGGGGAGCAAGCAGGAUUAGAAACCCUUGUAGU